rnacentral:ncRNA from 1 species
UAACAUAGCAAGGGGAGCUGGAUAGUACCGGCUGAGAGGAAGCAAUGCUUCGACCCGUGACCUGAUCUGGAUAAUGCCAGCGUAGGGCCCGCAAAGGUCUGAUGCA